CGCAACCCUCGACCUUAGUUGCCAGCAUUCAGUUGGGCACUCUAAGGUGACUGCCGGCUAAAAGUCGGAGGAAGGUGGGGAUGACGUCAAAUCAUCAUGCCCCUUAUGACCUGGGCUACACACGUGCUACAAUGGGCGGUACAAAGGGUCGCGAACCCGCGAGGGGGAGCCAAUCCCAAAAAGCCGCUCUCAGUUCGGAUUGCAGGCUGCAACUCGCCUGCAUGAAGCCGGAAUCGCUAGUAAUCGCGGAUCAGCAUGCCCGCGGUCGAAUACGUUCCGGGCCUU
rnacentral:rRNA from 1 species